UACGUAGGGGGCAAGCGUUGUCCGGAAUCAUUGGGCGUAAAGAGCGUGUAGGCGGCUCGGUAAGUCCGCUCUGAAAGCCCGGGGCUCAACCCCGGGAGGCGGGCGGAUACUGUCGGGCUAGAGUCCGGAAGAGGCGAGUGGAAUUCCUGGUGUAGCGGUGGAAUGCGUAGAGAUCCGGAAGAACACCAGUGGCGAAGGCGGCCCGCUGGGCAGUGGCUGACGCUGAGGCGCGAAAGCGUGGGGAGCGAACAGG
rnacentral:rRNA from 1 species